AGAUAGAGUGAGACCAGAGAGAAGAAGUGGCCCAGGAAGUCAUAACCUCCUGUUCCUGACUUGGACUUUCUCCAGUUGAAGCAGAAGACAGUUAACUGCAGGGCACUUUGCUGGAUUUAAUCAAGCUUCCUCAAGAAGAUGCCAUAGUAUGGUCCUUACUUUGAAGAGCCUGAAAGCAGUGAAAACUCUACUUCAUACUGCCAUCUGCCAAGCCUUUGUCCUAUGUCUGGAGACUUCUUGGAAGCUGGAGCACACAAAUAGCUACAGCAAACUUGAGGAAUGGGCAUGAAUAGACUGGCUUCGGGGAACCUGCCAGCUUGGCCGUGUGGCCAAGGUAAUAGGCAAGCCAAGGCAGAGCUAGAGCUCAGAGCUGGAGGGGAAAUUAAAGCAGCAAAUGUAGAAACAUUAAGCCUGAAGAGGCGACGACGUUGAAUUCUAAAAUGCAGGCCAAAGCUCAGACUGCAAGCUGUCUGGCUGCUCCGGGUGUGCCCAGAAGUCAAAGUCCAGCAGGGGCAAAGGUGGAGGUGUGGUCCUGCACGUGGGGUGUUGGGGGGAUGUGGAAGAGGAGGUGCUUUAAGAUCCAGAGAUUCCAGCUGCCCUGGUGCACCCUUGGAAGAAUAAAAGGCUAGGAACUGGACAAGUCAGGCUCGAGUCCAAGCUGCCUGAGGAAUCGGGGAAAGAAUGGAGCUCAGAGUGGGAGGUCAGGGCAGUAUUUAAAAAUCCAGGAUAGCAGCAAAGCUGGCGGUGGCCCCUGACUCUGGUAAGGGCAGCCUGCAGCACCAUGCCAAGGGGGGCCUGACUGAUCAUGCCCUGCAUUUGCAAACAAGGAUUAGUAGGGUAUGAGUAGGAUUCUGCUGGUGCCUGGGAAGGCAGUGCCAUCUACAACUUUACAAAGUUUUAACAAAGGCCUGAAGGACACAACCUUCCCCAAAGUCCUGACGUCGCUGUUUGCUGGCAACAAAUAGAGUCAAAAGAAGAGAGGCACAGAAUGUGCCAGGGGUGUGCUGCGUACAGCCCCGAUGACCACAAGGCCUUCUUGGGUCAAGUUCUGCCAUCUCUGGUUAAGAUGGGCUCACCCUCUAGGACCCUGAUUGAGUCCUCGGACCACCAAGAGUGCCCCACCAAGAGCCUCCCUCUUCUGGUGACUCGUGCCUGCUUCCCGUGGAGAGCUCCAGAAGGGAGGAAACUGUGAGGAGGUGGAGAACGUGGCAGGGAUCCUAACUUUCUUACUGAAGGAAGUUCUUCACAAGUACCCAUCUGCCUUCAGGGAAGAAAACAUAACUCAUUUUGGUCUUUCAAAUUCAGUUCUCAAAACCAAAUCCUGUUGUCAGCAAUCUGUGUCCCAACGCCUUCUUCAGCAACAGCAUUUUCCCUGUGGAAUUAGUUUCCAAUGUUCUUUCUUAAAUAAACCACUGAAGAUUAAAAGGAAUCCAGAUACCCACC
ensembl:lncRNA LINC01010 long intergenic non-protein coding RNA 1010